rnacentral:rRNA from 1 species
GGCUUAGAAGCAGCCAUCAUUUAAAGAAAGCGUAAUAGCUCACUGAUCGAGUCGUCCUGCGCGGAAGAUGUAACGGGGCUAAGCCAGUUACCGAAGCUGCGGAUUUGCAAUUUAUUGCAAGUGGUAGGAGAGCGUUCUGUACGCCUGUGAAGGUGGCUUGUGAAGGCUGCUGGAGGUAUCAGAAGUGCGAAUGCUGACAUGAGUAGCGUUAAAGCGGGUGAAAAGCCCGCUCGCCGUAAGCGCAAGGUUUUCUACGCAACGUUCAUCGGCGUAGAGUAAGUCGGCCCCUAAGGUGAGGCAGAGAUGCGUAACUGAUGGGAAACAGGUUAAUAUUCCUGUACCGAUGUAUAGUGCGAUGUGGGGACGGAGAAGGUUAACUCAGCCAACUGUUGGAUAUGUUGGUUCAAGCCUGUAGUCGUGCCUGGUAGGUAAAUCCGCCGGGCUUAGAUGAGGGGUGAUAACGAGACAGCUUGCUGUCGAAGUGAGUGAUACCCUGCUUCCAGGAAAAGCCACUAAGCUUCAGCUAUACACGACCGUACCGCAAACCGACACUGGUGCGCGAGAUGAGUAUUCUAAGGCGCUUGAGAGAACUCAGGAGAAGGAACUCGGCAAAUUGACACCGUAACUUCGGGAGAAGGUGUGCCCCAAGUCAGUGAACUCGUACAGAGGGAGCUAAACGGGGCUGCAAAAAAUCGGUGGCUGCGACUGUUUAUCAAAAACACAGCACUCUGCAAACACGAAAGUGGACGUAUAGGGUGUGACGCCUGCCCGGUGCUGGAAGAUUAAAUGAUGGGGUGCAAGCUCUUGAUUGAAGUCCCAGUAAACGGCGGCCGUAACAAUAACGGUCCUAAGGUAGCGAAAUUCCUUGUCGGGUAAGUUCCGACCUGCACGAAUGGCGUAACGAUGGCCACACUGUCUCCUCCUGAGACUCAGCGAAGUUGAAAUGUUUGUGAUGAUGCAAUCUCCCCGCGGAAAGACGGAAAGACCCCAUGAACCUUUACUGUAGCUUUGUAUUGGACUUUGAACAGAUCUGUGUAGGAUAGGUGGGAGGCUUUGAAGUGAGGAUGCUAGUUCUCAUGGAGCCAACGUUGAAAUACCACCCUGGUGUGUUUGAGGUUCUAACCUUGGCCCGUUAUCCGGGUUAGGGACAGUGUAUGGUGGGCAGUUUGACUGGGGCGGUCUCCUCCCAAAGUGUAACGGAGGAGUUCGAAGGUACGCUAGUUACGGUCGGACAUCGUGACGAUAGUGCAAUGGCAUAAGCGUGCUUAACUGCGAGACUGACAAGUCGAGCAGAUACGAAAGUAGGACAUAGUGAUCCGGUGGUUCUGUAUGGAAGGGCCAUCGCUCAACGGAUAAAAGGUACUCUGGGGAUAACAGGCUGAUACCGCCCAAGAGUUCAUAUCGACGGCGGUGUUUGGCACCUCGAUGUCGGCUCAUCUCAUCCUGGGGCUGUAGCCGGUCCCAAGGGUAUGGCUGUUCGCCAUUUAAAGAGGUACGUGAGCUGGGUUUAAAACGUCGUGAGACAGUUUGGUCCCUAUCUUCCGUGGGCGCUGCAGAUUUGAGGAAGCCUGCUCCUAGUACGAGAGGACCGGAGUGGACGCACCUCUGGUGUAUCGGUUGUCACGCCAGUGGCAUUGCCGAGUAGCUAUGUGCGGAAGAGAUAACCGCUGAAAGCAUCUAAGCGGGAAACUCGUUUCAAGAUAAGAUCUGCCGGGGCCUUGAGCCCCCUAAAGAGUCGUUCAAGACCAGGACGUUGAUAGGUCAGGUGUGGAAGCGCAGUAAUGCGUUAAGCUAACUGAUACUA